CCUACGGGAGGCAGCAGUAAGGAAUAUUGGUCAAUGGACGCAAGUCUGAACCAGCCAUGCCGCGUGCAGGAUGAAGGCCCUCUGGGUUGUAAACUGCUUUUAUAGGGGACGAAAAAGGGACUUUCUAGUUCAACUGACGGUACCCUAGGAAUAAGCACCGGCUAACUCCGUGCCAGCAGCCGCGGUAAUACGGAGGGUGCAAGCGUUAUCCGGAUUUACUGGGUUUAAAGGGUGCGUAGGUGGGUUGGUAAGUCAGCGGUGAAAUCUUCAAGCUUAACUUGGAAACUGCCAUUGAUACUAUCAAUCUUGAAUCAUCUGGAGGUAAGCGGAAUAUGUCAUGUAGCGGUGAAAUGCUUAGAUAUGACAUAGAACACCAAUUGCGAAGGCAGCUUACUACGGAUGUAUUGACACUGAGGCACGAAAGCGUGGGGAUCAAACAGGAUUAGAUACCCUGGUAGUCCACGCCCUAAACGAUGGAUACUCGACAUACGUGAUAUACUAUGUGUGUCUGAGCGAAAGCAUUAAGUAUCCCACCUGGAAGUACGAUCGCAAGAUUGAAACUCAAAGUAGUAAGUCGGACGNGAGAGAGCGACGACGGACGACGACGGAGGGAGGAG
rnacentral:rRNA from 1 species